UAUUUGUGUUAAGCCUCUAUAAUAUUAUUUGAAUGUUCAUUCUCGUGUGAUAAUAAUAAAUGUCAUAAUAUCCAUUCUUUAAUUUCUAUGGUGGUAGGCAUUGUUAUUGUUUGUUAUCCUAGCCGACUUCGACGUGAUAUCACACAAUAGAUUAAUAAGUUAAAAUAAUUCAUUACGCAAUAGGCAUUACUGCAUUAGUCAUUUAUCUUGUAGGUGUUCCGUGGCGGUACUAACUAUUAAUUGCUAAAUAUUAUAAAUUCAUUUUGGGGUUAACUUGUUUGUUUAAGAAUAGUAGAAAGGUACAUGAUUUUUUAUGAAUAGCAAUGGCAAUUCCACAAUUAACACAUAAACAUUCAAGAGCAGGAUUUGUGGAAUUGAAAAUCUUUUUCCAUAAUAAUAAUUUUAAUGUUGUUGGACCAGUUGAAAUUAAAUUAUUCCAAUUUGUACAAUAUUUUAAUAGGACUUGGUUAACAGGUCUAUUUGCUGAGUAACUUUCAAUUGCUGAUAUUAAUUGUGAACUGGCGCACAAACUAUGUACUGGAAAUAAGUCAUGAGAAUCUGAUGUCCAAUAUAAAUAUGCCAAACCAAGUACAUGGAUAUUUAUAGGCAGUGUUGGAAAUGCUUAUUAAUGUAUGUACGAGUGGUAUAAUAAUUAAUAGUACCGGUUAGCUGAGGCCGGUAUGGAAAUAAAGCAACCAAGAAAUUUUGGAACAAACUGUCCUAAUAGCUACAAGUUGAUGAUGAAGCCAAUAUUAUUGUAGAGCAUCUUGAGCCAGCAGUAUGCCAAAUUAUUGUAUUCAAAUGGCGUCCUCAAUUUCCCAGCAAGUACAUCUGCCUAUAUUAGAACCCUUACCAAUAUAUGAGCCACGAUAUUCUGGACAAGGUUAUUCAAGUCCAAAGAAGAGGAGUCCAACAAUUAUUGAAAAUUAUAUCAAUGUUCACUCAAUUUCAAACAUUUUCAAUUCUUUUAUUGAGAAAUAUUUGAUUGAGGAUAUUGCUGAUUCUCCUAGUUCUAUUGAUUAUUUGAUGACUUAUCCAUCUUCAAAACAAAAUAAAUCAACUAUAUUGAUGUUGCAACCAAGCAGUCAUACCCAGUGUUAACAUUAAAGACAAAUAAUGUUAAAAAAAAUUAUGUUUCGUACAACCAUCAAAUUUAUCAGGUAUACACGUUCAACAAUCUGAAAACAGUGUUAUAAAUAAAUCUUCUACCAAAAACAAUGAAAUGAAAAAUGAUGACAUCAAAACUCUCAGUACUGAUUGGUAUCAAAGACAUUGGUGAUAGCACAAGGCGUUUGAUGUCCAAAAUGUUUGUAGAUGAAGUUCUUUUCCAUUAUUCACUAUUAGGAUUCAAGAAAAAAAAACUUUUCUCAACUAUCUACCUACCGUUUAUUAAUUGACACUAUACGGCUUAAUCCCAAGUUCCAAAAUAAAUUGGGUAAGGAAAUUUAUGUGGCGUUGGCCAAUUGGUUAUUGCAUGCUAAGUUUCGUCUUCAGUCUUCCUAAUAUACAUACAACCUAUCACCCAAAUAAGUGAAUUAUGUCAUAUAUCCAUAACCUACUUACCUACAUAUUUCUAUUAUUAUAAUAUUAAAGUGUUUUUUUUCUUGUAAGUUGUAACAAUCCUAUAAUAAUCAUAAUAUAUAAAUAUAUUUGUAUUUAUAGCUUAUACAAUUACCUACAAUGUUAAUAUUGUACUAACUUUGUAUACCCCAGGGGCAGUGUUGAGU
rnacentral:lncRNA from 1 species